AGUGAGCACAGUCGCUCUCCUGGGGGAGGCACGUUCCACAAAUUAACAGAAGUUCUGAUAAACUCAGCAUAGGGGGAUUCGCUGUCCCAAGUAUCAAGGAGUCCUAAAAGAAAAGGGCCUAUUUCAGUCGGGGGACCUGGACUGAACUAACUCGUGUUCAUGGCCGCCAAAUCCCGUGUGACAAAUGUAUUCUUUUGUUGUUCAUAGAAAUAAAACAGUUUUUCGGGCCGCUUCAGGAGCUCCUCUGCAAAGGUGGGGAAAAAAGGCAACUAAAUCAGCACGAGGACGUCAGCCCGAGGAUGUCAGGAGCGGGGUCGGUGCGGACGGGCAGG
rnacentral:lncRNA from 1 species